GACGAACGCUGGCGGCGUGCCUAAUACAUGCAAGUAGAACGCUGAAGGAGGAGCUUGCUCUUCUGGAUGAGUUGCGAACGGGUGAGUAACGCGUAGGUAACCUGCCUGGUAGCGGGGGAUAACUAUUGGAAACGAUAGCUAAUACCGCAUAAGAGUAGAUGUUGCAUGACAUUUGCUUAAAAGGUGCAAUUGCAUCACUACCAGAUGGACCUGCGUUGUAUUAGCUAGUUGGUGAGGUAACGGCUCACCAAGGCAACGAUACAUAGCCGACCUGAGAGGGUGAUCGGCCACACUGGGACUGAGACACGGUCCAGACUCCUACGGGAGGCAGCAGUGGGGAAUAUUGGACAAUGGGCGAAAGCCUGAUCCAGCCAUGCCGCGUGUGUGAAGAAGGUCUUCGGAUUGUAAAGCACUUUAAGUUGGGAGGAAGGGCAGUAAGUUAAUACCUUGCUGUUUUGACGUUACCAACAGAAUAAGCACCGGCUAACUUCGUGCCAGCAGCCGCGGUAAUACGAAGGGUGCAAGCGUUAAUCGGAAUUACUGGGCGUAAAGCGCGCGUAGGUGGUUCAGCAAGUUGGAUGUGAAAUCCCCGGGCUCAACCUGGGAACUGCAUCCAAAACUACUGAGCUAGAGUACGGUAGAGGGUGGUGGAAUUUCCUGUGUAGCGGUGAAAUGCGUAGAUAUAGGAAGGAACACCAGUGGCGAAGGCGACCACCUGGACUGAUACUGACACUGAGGUGCGAAAGCGUGGGGAGCAAACAGG
rnacentral:rRNA from 1 species